rnacentral:rRNA from 1 species
CCUACGGGAGGCAGCAGUGGGGGAUAUUGCACAAUGGGGGGAACCCUGAUGCAGCGACGCCGCGUGGGUGAAGAAGCGCCUCGGCGCGUAAAGCCCUGUCAGCAGGGAAGAAAAUGACGGUACCUGAAGAAGAAGCCCCGGCUAACUACGUGCCAGCAGCCGCGGUAAUACGUAGGGGGCAAGCGUUAUCCGGAUUUACGGGGUGGAAAGGGGGCGCAGACGGCGAUGCAAGCCAGGAGUGAAGGCCCGGGGCCCAACCCCGGGACUGCUCUUGGAACUGCGUGGCUGGAGUGCAGGAGGGGCAGGCGGAAUUCCUGGUGUAGCGGUGAAAUGCGUAGAUAUCAGGAGGAACACCGGUGGCGAAGGCGGCCUGCUGGACUGCAACUGACGUUGAGGCCCGAAAGCGUGGGGAGCAAACAGGAUUAGAUACCCCGGUAGUC